rnacentral:rRNA from 1 species
AGCGAACGCUGGCGGCAGGCCUAACACAUGCAAGUCGAACGAAGUCUUCGGACUUAGUGGCGGACGGGUGAGUAACACGUGGGAACGUGCCUUUAGGUUCGGAAUAACUCAGGGAAACUUGUGCUAAUACCGAAUGUGCCCUUCGGGGGAAAGAUUUAUCGCCUUUAGAGCGGCCCGCGUCUGAUUAGCUAGUUGGUGAGGUAAAGGCUCACCAAGGCUACGAUCAGUAGCUGGUCUGAGAGGAUGACCAGCCACAUUGGGACUGAGACACGGCCCAAACUCCUACGGGAGGCAGCAGUGGGGAAUCUUGCGCAAUGGGCGAAAGCCUGACGCAGCCAUGCCGCGUGGAUGAUGAAGGUCAUAGGAUUGUAAAAUCCUUUCACCGGUGAAGAUAAUGACUGUAAGAAUAAGGAUCGGCUAACUUCGUGCCAGCAGCCGCGGUAACAC